rnacentral:rRNA from 1 species
UCUCUUACAGGCAAUCGGUGAAAUUGAUCUCCCUGUGCAAAAGCGGGAUACCACGACGAGAAGACCCUGUGGAACUUUAAAAUCAGCAGCCACUCCACAACACAUUCACACCACUGGGUACACGCACUUAUAAAGAGCUGGCCUGCAAUUUUUCGGUUGGGGCGACCUUGGAGAAAAACAAAUCCUCCAAAAAUUGGACCAAAACUCUAGACUGAGAGCAACUCCUCAAUGUGCUAAUAGCAUCCAGACCCAAUAUAAUUGAUCAAUGGACCAAGCUACCCCAGGGAUAACAGCGCAAUCUCCUCCGAGAGUCCGUAUCGACGGGGAGGUUUACGACCUCGAUGUUGGAUCAGGACAUCCUAGUGGUG